GAAGGUGGCAAGCGUUGUUCGGAUUUACUGGGCGUACAGGGAGCGUAGGCGGUUGGAUAAGCCCUCCGUGAAAUCUCCAGGCUUAACCUGGAAAGUGCAGAGGGGACUGUUCAGCUAGAGGAUGGGAGAGGAGCGCGGAAUUCCCGGUGUAGCGGUGAAAUGCGUAGAGAUCGGGAGGAAGGCCGGUGGCGAAGGCGGCGCUCUGGAACAUUUCUGACGCUGAGGCUCGAAAGCGUGGGGAGCAAACAGGAUUAGAUCCCCUGGUAGUCCACGCCUUAAACGAUGGAUACUAAGUGUCGGCGGGUUACCGCCGGUGCCGCAGCUAACGCAGUAAGUAUCCCGCCUGGGAAGUACGGCCGCAAGGUUGAA
rnacentral:rRNA from 1 species